UUCCUCUCUAAAUUUUCCUCUAUAUUACUAAGGCUUUAUUCCCACAGCAGUUUACUAUAUUUUAUUCAAUUUCACAAGCAACCAAGAGAAAAAUCUCAGCAAACAAGUUCCCACAAUUUGCUUUCCAAGUGCAUAUUAUAAUACAAGAUUCGUUACGUAAGGUGGGAUGCUCAGUGCUAUUAGUGGUUUUUCCACAUCUUUUCAAAUACGUUGUUAUGUAUGAAUUUAAUUACUUCAAUUCAGGACUCCUUCGAGAGAAAUCAUGAUACAUUUUUUAAGGCACAAUUUAGCUUUCACGUUAUUUUGCAACGCUUGCUUGAAUUAUCAUUUGUCAUGGUGUGAUAAUUCUCAUGUUAUGUUGGUAAGAGAAUUUAUGCAUAAUUUCACGUUUGAUUUGAAUGUGGAGUAGCAAGCAUCUAAUUGAGUAUAAUUCGUUAUACUCAUCCCUCUUUAUUUACAAUUUUCAAGUAAAAAUUAGUAUGCUGGACGGCGGUGGAUGGAUAAGCAAUUGGACCAAUGGAUCUUCGUCAUGAAGUACUUUAAUUUUUAGAAACACUAGAAUAUUU
rnacentral:lncRNA from 1 species